CCUGGUUGAUCCUGCUAGUAGUCAUAUGGUUGUCUCAAAUAUUAAGCCAUGCAUGUCUAAGUAUGAACUAAUUUAGACUGUGGAACUAUGGAUGGCUCAUUAAAUCAGUUAUAGUUUUUUUGAUGGUACCAUACUACUCGGAUAACCAUAGUAUUUCUAGAGCUAAUAUGCGCACCAAGUCCUGACUCUUUGGAAGGGAUGCAUUUUUUAGAUAAAAUGCUGGUGCAGGCUUGCCGGCUUCUCUGGUGAAUCAUGAUAACUCAACGGAUCACACAACCCUUGUGUUGGCAAUGCUUCAUUCAAAUUUCUUCCCUAUCAACUUUUGAUGGUAGGAUAGAGGCCUACCAUGGUGGUGACUAGUGACAGAGAAUUAGGGUUCGAUUCCAGAGAGGGAGCCUGAGAGAUGGCUACCACAUCCAAGGAAGGCAGCAGGCGUGCAAAUUACCCAAUCCUGACAUGGGGAGGUAGUGACAAUAAAUAACAAUACUGAACUCAUCAAGUCUGGUAAUUGGAAUGAGUACAAUCUAAAUCCCUUAAUGAGAAUCCAUUGGAGGGCAAGUCUGCUGCCAGCAGCCGCGGUAAUUCCAGUUCCAAUAGCAUAUAUUUAAGUUGUUAUAGUUAAAAAGCUCGUAGUUGGAUCUUGGGUCAUAAAGGCCAGUCCGCCUACUCGGUGUGCACCUGCUCUUUCGUCCCUUUUUUCGGUGGUGUGCUCCUAGCCUUAAUUAGCUGGGAUGCAGCUCCGACACUAUUACUUUGAAAAAAUUAGAGUGCUCAAAGAAAGUUUAUGCUUUGAAUACAUUAGCAUGGAAUAACAUGAUAGGAGUCUGAUCCUAUUGUGUUGGCCUUCGAGACCAGAGUAAUGAUUAAUAGGGACUGUCGCGGGCAUUUGUAUUUCAUUGUCAGAGGUGAAAUUCUUGGAUUUAUGAAAGACAGACCACUACGAAAGAAUUUGCCAAGAAUUUUUCAUUAAUCAAGAACGAAAUUUGGGGGCUCGAAGACGAUCAGAUACCAUCCUAGUCUCAACCAUAAAUGAUGCCAACCAGGGAUCGGCAGAUGUUUCUCUAAGGACUUUGGCAGCACCUUCUGAGAAAUCAGAAUGUUUGGGUUCUGGGGGGAGUAUGGUCGCAAGGCUGAAACUUAAAUGAAUUGACAGAAGGGCACCACCAGGAGUGGAGCCUGCGGCUUAAUUUGACUCAACACGGGGAAACUUGCCAGGUCUAGACAUAAUAAGGAUUGACAGAUUAAGAACUUUUUCUUGAUUCUAUGGGUGGUGGUGCAUGGCCGUUCUUAGUUGGUGGAGCGAUUUGUCUGGUUAAUUCCAAUAACAAACGAGACCUCUGCCUGCUAACUAGCUACAUGGAGGUGCCCCUUUGCGACCAACUUCUUAGAGGGACUAUGGCCGUUUAGGCCAUGGAAGUUUGAGGCAAUAAUAGGUCUGUGAUGCCCUUAUAUGUUCUGGGCCGCACACGUGCUACGCUGAUGCAGCCAAUGAGUUUUUCUUCCUGGUUGGAGAGGAUCAAGAAAUCUUCUCAAAUUGCAUCAUGAUAGGGAUAGACCAUUGCAAUUAUUGGUAUUCAACGAGCAAUUCCUAGUAAGCGCAUGUCAUCAACUCGUGUUGACUAUGUCCCUGCCCUUUGUAUACACCACCCGUCGCUCCUACCGAUUGAAUGAUUCGGUGAAGUGUUUGGAUUGUGUCAAUGAUGGUGGUCCACCGCCAUCGACAUCAUGAUAAGUUCAUUGAACGUUAUCAUUUAGAUGAAGGAGAAGUCAUAACAGGGUUACCGUGGGUGAACCUGUGGUAG
rnacentral:rRNA from 1 species